rnacentral:rRNA from 1 species
UACGUAGGGGGCAAGCGUUGUCCGGAAUCAUUGGGCGUAAAGAGCGUGUAGGCGGUUCAGUAAGUCUGCUGUGAAAGUCCAGGGCUCAACCCUGGGAUGCCGGUGGAUACUGCUGGGCUAGAGUACGGAAGAGGUGAGUGGAAUUCCCGGUGUAGCGGUGAAAUGCGCAGAUAUCGGGAGGAACACCUAUUGCGAAGGCAGCUCGCUGGGACGUUACUGACGCUGAGACGCGAAAGCGUGGGGAGCAAACAGG